rnacentral:lncRNA from 1 species
AUGGGCUCGAUAAAGGACAGAAAUGGUCUGGACCUAACAGAAGCAGAAGAUAUUAAGAAGAGGUGGCAAGAAUACAUGGAAGAACUGUACAAAAAAGAUCUUCACGACCCAGAUAAUCAUGAUGAUGUGAUCACUAAUCUAGAGCCAGACAUCUUGGAAUGUGAAGUCAAGUGGGCCUUAGAAAGCAUCACUAUGAACAAAGCUAAUGGAGGUGAUAGAAUUCCAGUGGAGCCGUUGCAAAUCCUGAAAGAUGAUGCUGUGAAAGAGCUGCACUCAAUAUGCCAGCAAAUUUGGGAAACUCAGCAGGGGCCACAGGACUGGAAAAGGUCAGUUUUUGUUCCAAUCCCAAAGAAAGGCAAAGCCAAAGAAUGCUCAGACUACUGCACAAUUGCACUUAUCUCACAUCCUAGUAAAGUAAUGCUCCAAAUUCUCCAAGCCAGACUUCAGCAAUACGUGAACCGUGAACUCCCUGAUGUUCAAACUGGUUUUAGAAAAGGCAGAGGAACCAGAGAUCAAAGUGCCAACAUCCGCUGGAUCAUCGAAAAAGCAAGAGACUUCCAGAAAAGCAUCUAUUUCUGCUUUAUUGACUAUGCCAAAGCCUUUGACUGUGUGGAUCACAAUACACUGUGGAAAAUUCUCCAAGAGAUGGGAAUACUAGAUCACCUAACCUGCUUCUUGAGAAAUCUGUAUGCAGAUCAGGAGGCAACAGUUAGAACUGGACAUGGAACAAAAGACCGGUUCCAAAUAGGAAAAGCAGUAUGUCAAGGCUGUAUAUUGUCACCCUGCUUAUUUAACUUCUAUGCAGAGUACAUCAUGAGAAAUGCUGGACUGGAAGAAACACAAGCUGGAAUCAAGAAUGCCAGGAGAAAUAUCAAUAACCUCAGAUAUGCAGAUGACACCACCCUUAAGGCAGAAAGUGAAGAGGAACUAAAAAGCCUCUUGAGGAAAGUGAAAGAGGAGAGUGAAAAAGUUGGCUUAAAGCUCAACAUUCAGAAAAUGAAGAUCAUGGCAUCUGAUCCCAUCACUGCAUGGGAAAUAGAUGGGGAAACAGUGGAAACAGUGUCAGACUUUAUGUUUUUGGGCUCCAGAAUCACUGCAGAUGGUGACUGCAGCCAUGAAAUUAAAAGAAGCUUACUCCUUGGAAGAAAAGUUAUGACCAACCUAGAUAGCAUAUUCAAAAGCAGAGACAUUACUUUGCCGACUAAGGUCCAUCUAGUCAAGGCUAUGGUUUUUCCUGUGGUCAUAUAUGGAUGUGAGAGUUGGACUGUGAAGAAGGCUGAACGCUGA